CGGCUGCUUGCAAGUUGCAACCCGCUGCAGCUCCCGUGGCGUUUGUAGGGGAGCGCGCGCGGGCGCAGCUUGCGGCUCCACUUCAUCCCCACGGAGACGCAGCCGCGCCGGACGCCUCGGAGUGGAGCGGGGAGCACGGCAUGUGUCCACGGGACGAUCCGUCUCCGUCUCGCCGCCGCCGCCGCAUGCAUUAUUCGUUCGUUUUAUCCAUCUAACUCUGGACCAGUGACAAUAAUUUCCGUCGCCUUUCUCGACCCCGAUCCAUUCCGCUUCAUGCGCCCCUGGCAUGAAAGGUUCCAGAGCGACUCCCAUUCUUCCAAGCUGCAAUGGACCAUGCCACGCAACAGUGCUCUAUUCUUCUCUCUCUCUCUCUCUCUAUCUGCAUCCUUCGAUCGUCGGAUAAGCACGGGCAUGGUUCCUCCGGCAAGGCGACUCUUCAAUCUUCAUCAUCAGUAGUACGUAGCAUGGCUGCCAGUGCCAUGUGCUUUGCUUAUCAGGACGCUAGAGCUCUGCUGGUUUUCAAAGGAGUGAAGAUCAAACGCAGAUCACACACAGCGGGCAGCGCCCUGCUUGGCUGGAUUAUAAAAAUCUCUCGCCGACAAGCACGGCGCCAUCCAGCUAGGGUUCUGCCAUAAAACAAUGCGAUCAUGCUGGUUUGUUAUCUAUGCUAAUCCAUUGUAGCACAACACCUGCCCGCCGCGUACAUCGUUUUUUUGCUCCACUGUGGUGUUUUCUGAGGAAGGGAAGAUCAGGUCCGUUCGAGUGAGUGCUAAAUGAUUCCUCGCGCCAGCUCCUUUUUUUUAAAAAAAAAAAGAAAGAAAGAAAAGAAGCAAAAUGCUGUGAUAAUCUCCAACCAAAAACUCUAUACAAAACAAGUCCGAGAGCAACCCAAAGUCAAACACAAACUCUCGAUCUCACUAAUAAGAAACACGGCAAGGCUACUUGAUCCUGGCCGCCGGCGCGGCGGCCGGAGGCGCGAAGAACCCGACGGCGCGGCACUUGACGUCCAGCCCUGCGCCGCCGGGCAUCGACAUUACCCCACCAGCAGCGGACGAGGUGGAGCGCUUGUAGGGCCCGAGCCACUUGGCGAGCAUGUAGCGCGUCUUGCGCCAGGGCGGGACGUGGAGGCCGUGGGCGCGGAGCGAGCGGCGCGCGGCGUCGGACGCGACGCGCACGGCGCGGCCGACGGCCUCCUCGCGCGCGACCACCGCGGGCGCCGGCACCGCGGCCACGACGGCCGCGUACUCGGGCGUGGCGCGGGCCACCUCCAGCGCCGCCCGGAAGUCCGCGUCCACAAUGUACCUGGCCGCCGCCGGCGCGACCGCGACCACGUCGACGUACUCGUACGUCCCGGCCGCGGCGCCGCCCGACGCCUCCCACCGCGACCUGCACACGCCGGCGUCGUACCCGGCGCCGCGCAGCCGCCGCGCCAGCGCGCGCCUGAACGCCGCCCCGUGCGCCCGCAGCGCCGCCUCCGCCUCCGCCGCGGCCGCCACCGCCGCGGCCAGCCUGAUGCGGAACGCGUCCUCCUCCGCCGGCGGGUCGAGCAGGGCCCGCACGGUCGCCGCGGCGGAGGCCGCCGCCCCGUCCUCGUCGUCGGAGCCGUACUCCUUGGGCGCCGCGCGGGGCCCUUCCUCGGCCGUGCCGCCGGCGCCCGUCUCCAGGAACGCCUGGACGAGCUCGGAGAGGCAGGCGGACGCGUCGUGGUCGCUGCCGCUGCUGCUGCUGGUGGUGCACCCCGCGGCGUGGGCGCCCCCGCGGAGGCGCGCGCGGACGGCGUCGUCGAGGCGGAUGUACGCGGCCAUGUCGGCGGCGAGGAGAGGCG
rnacentral:misc_RNA from 1 species